rnacentral:misc_RNA from 1 species
UGGCAAUUCCCGAAGGAUC